rnacentral:lncRNA from 1 species
GCGGGUUGUGCACUUGUGGUGGCCUCUACUGCUUUGCAAAGCCAUUGCCGAGGGGUUUCACCCGACCACACACAAGGUUGGUCCGUUACCGCGGAAUAGACCUCCAGUGAUAGCACCUACCGUAGGACCUCCCACUACUCUCACCACACACGUCAAUCCUCUCUAAGUGAGAAUGAAAGACCGUUAGAGUGUUAGGGAUAACCCCCC